rnacentral:lncRNA from 1 species
GGGCAAAGUUGUUUUAGCGAUCUGGUUGCAACUAAGGUAAACGUUUAUCAUGCAAAUAUUGCUCUCUCCUUGGCGAUACCUUGUUGGUAGAAGUAGAAUUUAAAAUAUAUUAUUGCCAUUUGCCAGCUGACCUGUGACACAGCAGCAGUGUAUUACAUUUUCAAUGAGCAGUCUGUCUGGAGCUGCUAGUGGGAGAAACUGCUUCCUGGUUUCUAGGUAUCCUGUAAGAACAAAUUGCUGCCUCCUCCAGGUGGAAAGGGAUCAAAUAUAAUUAAUCUGUGUGUGCCACACAGUAGCUUGAUAGUUUAAUUGAGGAAUGUUGACAUAUUGAGAGCUCAGCAUUACUUUCUGCUAUCAGCAGUGACGGCAUAAGAGCUGUAUCCUAACUGCACUGCUGAAUUUGGGCUUCCUGUGGGGGCACGGCAAGUGCCCUCUUUGAGAGUGAGGAGGCUGAGAGUCUCACACCAACAGGAAUGAGUGCUUUGAAAUUAACUGGUGUUUGGAAAUUGAUCUGCUGACUGAGCUGGGCUCUCAAGCUCUUCUCGACAACCAUGUAAGAAGCGAUGACAAUUGUACUACUUCAUAACAGCUGCAUGGAACUCUGACACACACUUCACAGCAACCAGUCAUCUAUAUAAACCAAUUUCAGGAGCAAAAUUGCAUGGUGCCUCCACUCUGUUAUAAACACAAUGAUAUCCACUCAAAGCUGAUAAAUGCACUACAUUUCUCUGCAGCUUAAAAGAAUAAGUUCCUUGCAUC